rnacentral:rRNA from 1 species
GAUGAACGCUAGCGGCAGGCCUAAUACAUGCAAGUCGAACGGUGUCUUCGGACAUAGUGGCGCACGGGUGCGUAACACGUAUGCAACCUACCUUACAUUGGGGGAUAGCCUUUCGAAAGGGAGAUUAAUACCGCAUAAGACAGUAGCUGGGCAUCCAACAGCUGUUAAAGAUUUAUCGAUGUAAGCUGGGCAUGCGUCCAAUUAGCUAGUUGGUGAGGUAACGGCUCACCAAGGCAAUGAUUGGUAGGGGAACUGAGAGGUCAAUCCCCCACACUGGCACUGAGAUACGGGCCAGACUCCUACGGGAGGCAGCAGUAGGGAAUAUUGGGCAAUGGACGCAAGUCUGACCCAGCCAUGCCGCGUGCAGGAUGAAGGCGUUAUGCGUUGUAAACUGCUUUUAUACAGGAAGAAACGACUCUUGCGAGAGGCAUUGACGGUACUGUAUGAAUAAGCACCGGCUAACUCCGUGCCAGCAGCCGAGGUAAAAC